rnacentral:rRNA from 1 species
CGCUGUAAUCGCAGAUCAGAAUGCUGCGGUGAAUACGUUCCCGGGUCUUGUACACACCGCCCGUCACACCAUGGGAGCCGGGAAUGCCCGAAGUCGGUGACCCAACCGUAAGGAGGGAGGCCGCUGAAGGCAGGCCUGGUAACUGGGGUGAAGUCGUAACAAGGUACC